rnacentral:rRNA from 1 species
UACGUAGGGUGCGAGCGUUAAUCGGAAUUACUGGGCGUAAAGCGUGCGCAGGUGGUCAUGCAAGACAGAUGUGAAAUCCCCGGGCUUAACCUGGGAACUGCAUUUGUGACUGCACGGCUAGAGUGCGGCAGAGGGGGAUGGAAUUCCUGGUGUAGCGGUGGAAUGCGUAGAGAUCAGGAGGAACACCGGCGGUGUAGACGGCUUACUGGACCAUGACUGACGCUGGAGGCACGAAAGCGUGGGGAGCAAACAGG